rnacentral:rRNA from 1 species
UACGGGGGGGGGCAAGCGUUGUUCGGAAUUACUGGGCGUAAAGGGCUCGUAGGCGGCCAACUAAGUCGGAUGUGAAAUCCCCAGGCUCAACCUGGGAACUGCAUCCGAUACUGGAUGGCUUGAAUUCGGGAGAGGGAUGCAGAAUUCCAGGUGUAGCGGUGAGAUGCGUAGAUAUCUGGAGGAAUACCGGUGGCGAAGGCGGCAUCCUGGACCGACAUUGACGCUGAGGAGCGAAAGCCAGGGGAGCAAACGGG